rnacentral:rRNA from 1 species
CUGCCACGUGCGCGAUGAGGGCCUUCGGGUUGUAAACUGCUUUUGUACGGAACGAAAAGACUCUGGUUAAUACCUGGGGUCCAUGACGGUACCGUAAGAAUAAGCACCGGCUAACUACGUGCCAGCAGCCGCGGUAAUACGUAGGGUGCGAGCGUUAAUCGGAAUUACUGGGCGUAAAGCGUGCGCAGGCGGUUAUAUAAGACAGAUGUGAAAUCCCCGGGCUCAACCUGGGAACUGCAUUUGUGACUGUAUAGCUAGAGUACGGCAGAGGGGGAUGGAAUUCCGCGUGUAGCAGUGAAAUGCGUAAAUAUGCGGAGGAACACCGAUGGCGAAGGCAAUCCCCUGGGCCUGUACUGACGCUCAUGCACGAAAGCGUGGGGAGCAAACAGGAUUAGAUACCCUGGUAGUCCACGCCCUAAACGAUGUCAACUGGUUGUUGGGUCUUCACUGACUCAGUAACGAAGCUAACGCGUGAAGUUGACCGCCUGGGGAGUACGGCCGCAAGGUUGAAACUCAAA